AGAUGCUGCCAGGGUCCCUGAAGAGGGAAGACACGCGGAAACAGGCUUGCACCCAGACACGACACCAUGCAUCUCCUCGGCCCCUGGCUCCUGCUCCUGGGUAAGGACUGUGGCCUGGGCUAGUACUGGGGUUCUGGGAUGUCAGUGGGCACUGGAGGAGGAGGAAAGACCCAGGCAGAGAGGCGUCAACAUAGGGUAGGGUGGGGGCAGCGGUGUGUAUAGAUAAAUGUACAUACAAAUAUAUGUUUCCCAUAUAUACAUACACUUCUCUCAUUGCAUCCUGCUGUCUUUGUGUAUCUCUGUAUUUCUCCCACUAUCUUCAGAGGGAAUUCUUUAGUCUUUAGAAAGCUCUCUGCUGGGUGCAGUGGCUCAUGCCUGAAAUCUCAGCACUUUGUGAGGCUGAGGUGGGAGGAUCACUUGAGGUCAGGAGUUCAAGGCCAGCUUGGACAACAUAGCAAGACCCCUAUAUCUAAAAAGAAUAAAAAAUUAAACAAAUUUUAAAAUAAAGAAUAAUUUUUAAAAGAAGGCUCUCAUGCCCCCUUAGUAAUGCUUUCUGAUCACUGUGGUGAGUUCUAGAAUACUUGGCUUUCUCUGACUCAAGUAAAUGGGCUUUUGAGCACCCUGAAACCCUCUACGCCUGGGAGGGGGCCUGCGUCUGGAUCCCCUGCACCUACAGAGCCCUAGAUCGUGACCUGGAAAGCUUCAUCCUGUUCCACAAUCCUGAGUAUAACAAGAACACCUCGAAGUUUGAUGGGACAAGACUCUAUGAAAGCACAAAGGAUGGGAAGGUUCCUUCUGAGCAGAAAAGGGUGCAAUUCCUGGGAGACAAGAAUAAGAACUGCACACUGAGUAUCCACCCGGUGCACGUCAAUGACAGUGGUCAGCUGGGGCUGAGGAUGGAGUCCAAGACUGCGAAAUGGAUGGAACGAAUACACCUCAAUGUCUCUGAAAGGCCUUUUCCACCUCAUAUCCAGCUCCCUCCAGAAAUUCAAGAGUCCCAGGAAGUCACUCUGACCUGCUUGCUGAAUUUCUCCUGCUAUGGGUAUCCGAUCCAAUUGC
rnacentral:sRNA from 1 species